rnacentral:misc_RNA from 1 species
CAAGAAGCCGAAAGGCUACUUAAAACCAUCGCGAACUUAUCCAAGUUGCUUCGGCGGCGCGGCUCCCCUCACGGGGGACCGCAGCCCCCGCCUCUCAGGAGGUAAGGGGCAGCCGCCGGAGGUACGAAACUCUGUAUUAUAGUGGUAUCUCUGAGUUAUUUAAAAUAAGUUCA